UUUAGAAAACAUUUGUUCCGGUGCCUAAUUUCACAGAUGAGGACAGCAAAACUUGGAGAGGUUAAAUGACUUGCCCAACGUCAAUCACCUGAUAAAUGCUGUAUGAAUGUCAUGGUUUCCCUGUUUAUUGAAAUUAUCUUUUAACGACAACUACUACUUCUUGAAACCACAUUGUUAAACUAAGAAAAACAACCAGCAACUACUACUCCUAUUUACUUGUACUAGCUCAUCUGACUUCCACAAAAAUCCUAUGAGACAGAGUCUCACUCUGGACAGGCUGGAGUGCAGUGGCAAGAUCUCGGCUUAUGGCAACCUCUGCCUUUCAGGUUCAAAUGACUUUCAUGCUUCAGCCUCCCAAGUAGCUGGGAUUACAGGUGUGUGCCACUA
rnacentral:lncRNA from 1 species